rnacentral:rRNA from 1 species
UACGGAGGGUGCAAGCGUUAUCCGGAUUCACUGGGUUUAAAGGGUGCGUAGGUGGGUCUGUAAGUCAGUGGUGAAAUCUCCGAGCCUAACUUGGAGACUGCCAUUGAUACUAUAGAUCUUGAAUACCGUGGAGGUCAGCGGAACAUGUCAUGUAGCGGUGAAAUGCUUAGAUAUGACAUAGAACACCAAUUGCGAAGGCAGAUGGCUACACGAAUAUUGACACUGAUGCACGAAAGCGUGGGGAUCAAACAGG